rnacentral:rRNA from 1 species
UACGUAGGUGGCAAGCGUUGUCCGGAUUUACUGGGCGUAAAGAGCGCGCAGGCGGUCGUUCAAGUCGCGUGUGAAAGCCCCGAGCUCAACUUGGGAACGGCAUUGGAAACUGGCGGGCUGGAGUGUGGCAGAGGGGGGUGGAAUUCCACGUGUAGCAGUGAAAUGCGUAGAGAUGUGGAGGAACACCGAUGGCGAAGGCAGCCCCCCUGGGGCCAACAU